rnacentral:rRNA from 1 species
GUGCCAGCAGCCGCGGUAAUACAGAGGUGCCGAGCGUUAGGCGGAAUCACUGGGCUUAAAGCGUGUGUAGGCGGAUGCCUAAGUACCUUGUGAAAUCCCACGGCUUAACCGUGGAACUGCUCGGUAUACUGGGUGUCUUGAGCCACUUAGGGGUUACCGGAACAAAUGGUGGAGCGGUGAAAUGCGUAGAUAUCAUUUGGAACGCCAAUGGUGAAAACAGGUAACUGGGAGUGUGCUGACGCUGAGACACGAAAGCCAGGGGAGCGAACGGGAUUAGAUACCCCCGUAGUCC